rnacentral:lncRNA from 1 species
AGGGUCAUAUGAAAAAAGAAUCAUUAAAAAAUAUGGAGAAUUGGAGGAGUUGUGAUCCUUGGAACCUUGACUUUAAAAUGUUGACUUUUUGGUCAAACCUCUUAGAACAAGCUUGUAUACUUAGACUUUUCUUGCAUUUAAAAGAACAUGGGUGAUCAUAUGAACUCAAAAUAAGGUGUCCUUGAAUGUUUCUUGAUUAAUUUUCUCAAAUAUUGAGGUAACUUGGUGAACAAGGCAUGGAAAUAAACACAUGAACCUUUG